rnacentral:rRNA from 1 species
GGGGAAUAUUGCACAAUGGGGGAAACCCUGAUGCAGCGACGCCGCGUGGAGGAAGAAGGUCUUCGGAUUGUAAACUCCUGUUGUUGGGGAAGAUAAUGACGGUACCCAACAAGGAAGUGACGGCUAACUACGUGCCAGCAGCCGCGGUAAAACGUAGGUCACAAGCGUUGUCCGGAAUUACUGGGUGUAAAGGGAGCGCAGGCGGGAAGACAAGUUGGAAGUGAAAUCUAUGGGCUCAACCCAUAAACUGCUUUCAAAACUGUUUUUCUUGAGUAGUGCAGAGGUAGAUGGAAUUCCCGGUGUAGCGGUGGAAUGCGUAGAUAUCGGGAGGAACACCAGUGGCGAAGGCGGUCUACUGGGCACCAACUGACGCUGAGGCUCGAAAGCAUGGGUAGCAAACAGGAUUAGAUACCCUGGUAGUCCAUGCCGUAAACGAUGAUUACUAGGUGUUGGGGGAUUGACCCCCUCAGUGCCGCAGUUAACACAAUAAGUAAUCCACCUGGGGAGUACGACCGCAAGGUUGAAACUCAAAGGAAUUGACGGGGGCCCGCACAAGCAGUGGAGUAUGUGGUUUAAUUCGAAGCAACGCGAAGAACCUUACCAGGUCUUGACAUCCGAUGCAUAGCACAGAGAUGUGUGAAAUCCUUCGGGACAUCGAGACAGGUGGUGCAUGGUUGUCGUCAGCUCGUGUCGUGAGAUGUUGGGUUAAGUCCCGCAACGAGCGCAACCCUUAUUGCCAGUUACUACGUUAAGAGGACUCUGGCGAGACUGCCGUUGACAAAACGGAGGAAGGUGGGGAUGACGUCAAAUCAUCAUGCCCUUUAUGACCUGGGCUACACACGUACUACAAUGGCGUUAAACAAAGAGAAGCAAGACCGCGAGGUGGAGCAAAACUCAAAAACAACGUCUCAGUUCAGAUUGCAGGCUGCAACUCGCCUGCAUGAAGUCGGAAUUGCUAGUAAUCGCGGAUCAGCAUGCCGCGGUGAAUACGUUCCCG